rnacentral:rRNA from 1 species
CACCGCGGUUAUACGUAAAACUCGAGUCAAUAACCUUCGGCGUAAAGAGUGGCCUGAGAAAUUCAAACUAAAGCAGAACUACUUAUGAGGUGUUAUACCCCUAAUAAGAAAAGAAAAUCAUUGCGAAAGCAGCUUUAAAACUUGAACCCACGAAAAUUAUGAAA